ACUUACGGAUGCUCUGUAAUGGGAUGGGAUCCGAAGCCCCAUUGAGGGAUAAUACAGGCUCUCCCAUCCAACUCCUAU
rnacentral:ribozyme from 1 species